rnacentral:tRNA from 1 species
GUCUCCGUAGCUCAACGGAUAGAGCGCUGGCCUCCGAAGCCAGAGGUUGGAGGUUCGAAUCCUCCCGGGGACG